UACGUAGGGUGCAAGCGUUGCCCGGAAUUAUUGGGCGUAAAGGGCUCGUAGGCGGUCCGUCACGUCGGGAGUGAAAUCCUGAGGCUUAACCCCAGAACUGCUUCCGAUACGGGCAGACUAGAGGUAGGUAGGGGAGAAUGGAAUUCCUGGUGUAGCGGUGGAAUGCGCAGAUAUCAGGAGGAACACCAGUGGCGAAGGCGGUUCUCUGGGCCUUACCUGACGCUGAGGAGCGAAAGCGUGGGGAGCAAACAGG
rnacentral:rRNA from 1 species